UUUGUUUUUAAAAGACCUUCUUACGAAGGUAUGCUUAAAGAGGGGCUUGCGCCACAUUAGUUAGUUGGUAGAGUAAAAGCCUACCAAGACGAUGAUGUGUAGCUGGACUGAGAGGUUGAACAGCCACAUUGGGACUGAGACACGGCCCAAACUCCUACGGGAGGCAGCAGUAGGGAAUUUUCGGCAAUGGAGGAAACUCUGACCGAGCAACGCCGCGUGAACGAUGAAGUAUUUCGGUAUGUAAAGUUCUUUUAUUGAAAAAGAAAAAGUAGUGGAAAAACUAUAUUGACGUUAUUCAAUGAAUAAGCCCCGGCUAACUAUGUGCCAGCAGCCGCGGUAAGACAUAGGGGGCGAGCGUUAUCCGGAAUUAUUGGGCGUAAAGGGUGCGUAGGCUGUUAGAUAAGUCUAUAAUUUAAUUUCAGUGCUUAACGCUGUCUUGUUAUAGAAACUGUCUUGACUAGAGUGAGAUAGAGGCAAGCGGAAUUCCAUGUGUAGCGGUAAAAUGUGUAAAUAUAUGGAGGAACACCAGAAGCGUAGGCGGCUUGCUGGGUCUUUACUGACGCUGAGGCACGAAAGCGUGGGUAGCAAACAGGAUUAGAUACCCUGGUAGUCCACGCCGUAAACGAUGAGUACUAAGUGUCGGGGUAAAACUCGGUACUGAAGUUAACACAUUAAGUACUCCGCCUGAGUAGUACGUACGCAAGUAUGAAACUUAAAGGAAUUGACGGGACUCCGCACAAGCGGUGGAUCAUGUUGUUUAAUUCGAAGAUACACGAAAAAUCUUACCAGGUCUUGACAUACUCUGCAAAGCUAUAGAAAUAUAGUGGAGGUUAUCAGGGAUACAGGUGGUGCAUGGUUGUCGUCAGUUCGUGUCGUGAGAUGUUAGGUUAAGUCCUAAAACGAACGCAACCCUUGUCGUUAAUUGCCAGCACAUAAUGGUGGGGACUUUAACGAGACUGCCAAUUAAACAUUGGAGGAAGGUGAGGAUUACGUCAAAUCAUCAUGCCCCUUAUGAUCUGGGCUACAAACGUGAUACAAUGGCUGUGACAAAGAGUAGCUGAAACGCGAGUUUUUAGCCAAUCUCAAAAAAGCAGUCUCAGUUCGGAUUGAAGUCUGUAACUCGACUUCAUGAAGUUGGAAUCGCUAGUAAUCGCGAAUCAGC
rnacentral:rRNA from 1 species